AAAAAAAUGACACGGUAGUAAAGGCACUUUGGUGUGUUUUGCAGUACGAUGAAGAGGGGGAGGAGGCUGACGACGAGGAAGGCGAGGAGGAAGCCGACGAGGAGAAUGACCCCGACUACGAUCCCAAGGUGAGGUCCCCCCGCACGGUAGCUCUCAAUGUCUCGCUCGUGACAUCUCUGCACCCUUACAACCCGGGGGUCAUUAGUUUCAUGUCCCUCCAUGUCACAAGUGCCAUCGAAGCCCACUGGGAGACCCGAGAACUGCUCGUGUCUAUUCAAAAUACAGAAUCCAUCCUGCCGAAUGCAUCUCAUGGCUUCAGCUUGGGUUGCUUGUCGCCUUAAUUUGGCUCCUCGGCUAAAGUGACCCUCAUUCAGACUCUUCACCGCCAUCCCUUGAACGACUUCAUAUUUUUCGUUGUGUUCAAAAUCGUAGCAGGCGGCAGUCUGUUUUAGGGGGCGGGGUCUGUCAUGUCAAUGCAGAUGACAGCUUUCAUGGCCACAGAGAAGCGGCAUGAAACAGGAAGAGCUCCUCAGUUUGCCAAGUCUUGUACUCGUUUUCCCAA